GAAGAUGAACUCUCUGAAGCUUUGCAUGUUUCUGCUUACACAACAGACAUGAAAGACAGGAUGGCCUGUCUACAUGGAUGCAAUCAUCUAAACACAUCAAUACGUUACAGCAAUAAGAACCCUGCUAGAAGGCAAUUACACUGUCACAGUUUUGAUCUGUGCAGAGUUAAAGGACAGGUAUGCAAUACUACUGGUGUCUUUGAAUCCACUAGUUAUUUCACAGAGAUCUUCAGGGACACUAAAGGACUGCUUUCCUCAAAAUGUUUGCAAGCUGAACAGGAGCAGAAACAUUAAAAUUCACCAACAUCUAAACGGUAGGAGCCAAAUAACUUAGAGAGGACAACAUGAAUAUUAAGAAACUUUAGGAC